ensembl:lncRNA
CAGUUAAUUACCAUUAAUUGCAACUUAAGUGUUUUGGGAUCUUUAUGUAUUUACCUGUGCAUAUGUCUAAGUUUGUCUUGAAGUUCCUUCACUAUGCCUCCCUGAUGACUGAUGAUAAUGUCUUCAGUGAUUGGUGGUUAUUUUCGGGCCUGUUUGCUCAGCCAAUGAGGCGCCCCCAGCGUACCAGACAUACAUCAUUGUUUCACAGCCCUCAGGAAAGAACUCGUGGAAUCAGAUACCAGGCAUCAGCUACAAGAACACAGAUACACCGGCUCAUAUAUCCUUCACCAUCGAGACCACCAGACCUGAUUAAACACAGAUAUAAAUGCACACUCAAGCACCCACCAUUGCACUUGGAUUCUGGUGAAGUUUUCAGAUGGGCAGAAAUGAGUUAUUCUAGCAACUGGUAUGCAGUGGCCCACAGAAGACCUGGGAACACUGUGUGUGCACCUCAUCAGAACAUCUGGCAUCAGUGUGGCAAGCGGUCCACUGCCUUCAUUUCUCCAGCUUUCUUCAGUUGGAAGCUGGAUUUAUUUUACAGUACCGUGGUGCUACAGAGUCCUGGCUUCUCAUCAACCGUCCCCCAAACAACUGUUGACUAUGAGUGCGGCCGAGCUGAGCCAGAGGAACUCAUGCCAGCUCUAGACUCUUUUAUGGUAGCACGAAAAGUAUUCACGUUUGCAGCUAAAUAUCAGACUUGUGUAAAUAUGACAACACGGACCUUGUAAUCCAUAAUCCACAGAGACCUUCUCAAUGUAUUGUGCCAAAGGAGAUAUCUGCUGAGAUACAUCACUGAAAUGACACUGCAACUGAGUGCUUUGUAAAACCACCCUUGCCCAUCUCCCAUUUCCUGCAGAGAGAUCACCACAAAAUGUUUGAUGAUUAGCUUCCUUCUUUUCCAAGAAUAGGGUCCUUAGUUAACUGGGAGGAAAACACAGCUGACCUCAAAGCAGCCAACUUAUUAUAAGAAAAGUCUGCAUACAUUUCUCCUUGUGUUCGCCUUGCCUCCCCGUCAUUGUUUAAUGAACCACUUUCAUGUUCUGUUUGAUUUUCUACAGCUGAAACUAUUUGAGUGCCACUUUUCUUCUUCUUUUUUAAAUAUCACAGAUUCAUGUGACUUAUUGUUCUGAUUUCAACGAGUGGUGUAUUAUGUUACUGUCUACUGAUCUGUGAAUCUGAGUUUAUAAUCAAGUGUCUUGCAUUAAUACUUUUUUUCACUGUACUGGAGCUUGACCUGAUGUGAUGACAAUGUACAAUUGCAGUUUAAUUUAGCAGCAUAGUGGUGUUUUCAUUUGGUUGUUACCUAAUAUGUACAGUUUUUGUAGUGUGUGUGUGCGUGCGCGUGUGUGUGGUUUUGUGCUACACUGUCUUCAUGUGAUGAUAUGAACGUUUGGGGGUAACAGCAGUCGCCCUUGACUUCUUCCACAGUGGUUUGCAGUGAUCAGCCUGUUUCAGUUGUUUGAAUAAAAUAUUGGUUUCACAAGAACUGUGCAAACUGUGCGUGCUUCAUCAGGGAGACCGCAGCGUGAGCACUGAUGCUGGGGUUGCUGAUAAAUGUGAGUGCAACGACGAGUAUUUUUCACAAGUUUAAAGUUGCCCCCCCACUAAUGGCAUCUACAACAAUAGUUUCUUGCACUGCCCGAGAAAGAUUUUUUUUUCCUUUUUUUCGGUUUUCAUGGUCGACCAAUUCUCUCUCUCUCCCUCAUAAACUCAGCCAGAUGUUGCCCUUUUUUAUCCUAGGGGGACUUGUGGGGAGGUAGGGGUAGUGAGGCAUGGUGGUGCUGGGUAGUGGUGGGGGUGGCUAAGGAUGUUUUAAAGUGUUCUCUGACACAGUCAGAAGUCUCCAGCAUUCAACAUGGUAACGCUGUGAGCCAAAAUGCCCAGGACUCAAUGCUGUCACAGCUAUGAGGAC